rnacentral:rRNA from 1 species
CCGCCAGAGAACUACAAGUGAAAAACUUGAAACUCAAAGGACUUGACGGUGUUCCAUAUCGACCUAGAGGAGCCUGUCCUAUAAUCGAUACUCCCCGCUCCACCCAACCCUAACUGGCAUCUCAUCAGCCUAUAUACCGCCGUCGAUCAGCCUACCCUAUGAAGGCUCAACAGUAGACACAAUAGUCUUAUCACUAAUACGUCAGGUCAAGGUGUAGCAAAUGUUAAGGAAGAGAUUGGCUACAUUUUUUAUUUUAAAAAAUACGAAAAAUACUAUGAAACAAUAUAUGAAGGUGAAUUUAGUAGUAAAAUAAACAAGAGUGUUUAUUUUAAC